GACGAACGCUGGCGGCGUACUUAACACAUGCAAGUCGUACGGUAAGGCCCUUUCGGGGGUACACGAGUGGCGAACGGGUGAGUAACACGUGAGUAACCUGCCCACAACUUUGGGAUAACGCUAGGAAACUGGUGCUAAUACUGGAUAUGUGCUCCUGCUGCAUGGUGGGGGUUGGAAAGCUCCGGCGGUUGUGGAUGGACUCGCGGCCUAUCAGCUUGUUGGUGGGGUAGUGGCCUACCAAGGCGGCGACGGGUAGCCGGCCUGAGAGGGUGACCGGCCACAUUGGGACUGAGAUACGGCCCAGACUCCUACGGGAGGCAGCAGUGGGGAAUAUUGCACAAUGGGCGCAAGCCUGAUGCAGCAACGCCGCGUGCGGGAUGAUGGCCUUCGGGUUGUAAACCGAUUUCAGCAGGGACGAAGCUUUUUGUGACGGUACCUGCAGAAGAAGCACCGGCUAACUACGUG
rnacentral:rRNA from 1 species